rnacentral:tRNA from 2 species
GCCCGGGUGGCGGAAUUGGUAGACGCGCAGGACUUAAAAUCCUGUAAUCAUUAUGAUUGUGCGGGUUCAAUUCCCGCCCCGGGUA